UACACUGGAUCAUCUGUCCUCUUUUAGGAUC
rnacentral:piRNA from 1 species